UACGGGGGGGGCAAGCGUUGUUCGGAUUUACUGGGCGUAAAGGGCGCGUAGGCGGCUUAACAAGUCACUUGUGAAAUCUCCGGGCUUAACUCGGAACGGCCAAGUGAAACUGUCAAGCUAGAGUGCAGAAGGGGCAACUGGAAUUCUUGGUGUAGCGGUGAAAUGCGUAGAUAUUGGGAGGAACACCAGUGGCGAAGGCGGCUCACUGGACCGGAACUGACGCUGAGGCGCGAAAGCGUGGGGAGCAAACAGG
rnacentral:rRNA from 1 species